UAGAAGAUGGCAUCCAUAAAAUUUGUUUCGUGUCUUCUGGUUCUUAUACUUGCUUCUUUUGUUUCAACUCAUGCGCGUGAAAGUAAAUUUCUUAUUACGUUGCUUUUUUAUGUAUAUGUUUUACAGACCAUAUAUUUAUUGUUAGACUAUAAUAAUUUUUUCUUCUGUUUUAUUAGAUUUUUGCACAAAAUUAUGUUGCAAUAAAAUGAAAAGUUGCGAUGAAUUUUGCCAGAAGCGUGUGAGCAGGGCUUUGUCGAUCAAUCCUAAUGGCUUUGCUGAAGGAAUAUGCAAACCAGACGCGGCUUGUUUUCUCGGUGGAGUAUGUUGUUGUGUCGGAUGAAACGAAAAUAUAUUUUCCCCGACUUAUAAUGUCAAAUCUGUUUUUUUUUUUGUGUGUGUGUUAUUUUUUUCUUAAAUAAAAUUUAUUAAUAGUCC
rnacentral:lncRNA from 1 species